UAAGCAAAAGCAACUCAUUACAAACCUAUUGUGAGCUUGCUAAUUAAUGAUUUUUCCCUAGAACACACGAAGUUCUUUGUUCUUAAGUAGUGUUCUAAAAAUCGACCGCCCAGACCGCCUAAGCGGCGCCUAGGCCCUAGGCAGCUGAUCUCCGCCGUGAUUAAUGCCCAAUCAGUGGAGGUGGGCAGUUGGGGUUUGGGUCGCUGUUUAGGUGGCCUAGGCGGUCAACUAGGCGGCUGGGAGAUAGGGGUUUGGGCGAUCUUUUAGGCGGUCGACUGGGCAGCUAGGUGGUCUAAGCGGACUGGCCUCGGCUGUUGGUUUUGCUUUGGAUUCAUUUCGGCACAGACGGUGGUCCGAUCUAUCCCUGACUCUCUCUUGAAUGGAGGUGGAGGAGAUGUACCAAAAAACCUCAUACUCCAAGGUGUACGAAUCUCCAUAAUGUCAUCUAGAAAGGCUUCAGUCACUAGAGCAGGAGGGUCAUUCAGGAUACAGAGACCUUGAGAGUCUUGGAUACUGUUUUUUGCCAACAGAUCUGCGACCAGAUUUCAUCAUCGAUGCACAUGCUACAUAUGGAUGGUGGUAAAAACGACUGAAAAGACAUCUUCCUGUUGCCGCAGGUUAACCAAGACUUCAGAAUGUGACUCCACCUGAAGAUUAAAAAUGUUUCGGAAACUACCCCAAGGCUUCAGCAUGUAAAACAUCCCCUAGCACCACUAUUAAGCAUAAAACCACUAUGCCAAGAUCCAGCACUAUCUCUAAUGGCACCACUUGCACCAGUUAGUCUAGUACUAGAUCUUGAUCCAUCAAACAUUCAAUUUAAAAUGACCAGAAGGUGGCUCAUGCCAAGAGAGAUGCUCAGUUUGCACACAUUUCUAAGCACAGAAUUAGCAUUAGCACGAUUCCAUUCAUUAGCAAAACUGAAGAUGAUGUCAGUUAUAUUGUAAGGAUAGGUAAAGGAGACGUCAAAUACAAAAGACAUUACAAUUCAACUGCUUCAUAAAGUAAGCUUUUUGCUGCAAGUUUGUUAGAA